UACAGAGGUCUCAAGCGUUGUUCGGAUUCAUUGGGCGUAAAGGGUGCGUAGGUGGCGCGGUAAGUCGGGUGUGAAAUUUCGGAGCUUAACUCCGAAACUGCAUUCGAUACUGCCGUGCUUGAGGACUGGAGAGGAGACUGGAAUUUACGGUGUAGCAGUGAAAUGCGUAGAGAUCGUAAGGAAGACCAGUGGCGAAGGCGGGUCUCUGGACAGUUCCUGACACUGAGGCACGAAGGCCAGGGGAGCGAACAGG
rnacentral:rRNA from 1 species